GUCAGAGGUCCUUACAGUAGGGUUCCAUGAAGGCGUUGCAAGGGAAGGUUAAGUAUAUAUACUUUUACGUUACUCCUACUUUUACCCCACUAGUCUUCUUGGGAAAGAAACCAGAAGAGAUCCCAGCUGGCUUUUUUCUCAAAAAGAAACUAACACUGGGGGUAAUAAAGACCCCUGCCCUCACAGUCCAGAUGGGUACAAAGGAGGCCUGGGAGAUGUGGACUAACCCUGAGCAACAGCCUCAUACCCUUGUAGCAAAAGUAGUGCCUGAAGUCAGCAGAAAGGCUCCUGGUACCAUGCAUAAGCAAUGUGAAAAAGCCUGGCACAGGCCAUCUAGAAGCAUCAGGUGUGACAAUGGGGAUAAAGCCCCAUAACACCAGAGACCGGACAGAGUGAUAAAACAGCACUAAGUUGUUUAGUUUUUAUUUCCAGGAAGAGCCAUCAGCAAUCACUGAGUUUUUACUCCAUUUAUGAAAGAACCUAUCUUCCCUGGUGGCUCAGACGGUAAAUCGUCUGCCUACAAUGCAGGAGAUCUAGGUUCAAUCCCUGGGUCAGGAAGAUCUCCUGGAGCAGUAAAUGGCAACCCACUCCAGUAUUCUUGCCUGGAAAAUCCCAUGGAUGGAAGAGCCUGGUAGGCUACUGUCCAUGGGGUCGCAAAGAGUCGAACUCGACUGAGCUACUUCACUUUCACUUUAUGAAAGAACACGUUUCAGUGCAGUUAGGAGACAGAAUGGUCCAGGGAAAUUCAACGACAAAAUGGUUAAUGAAAAAUGACUCAGGCCUACCCCCACCCGUCCACAACAUCUCUGACAAACAAGUGAAUGCCCUUAAUUCAUCACUAAAACACUUUGAGCAUCCCAGAAACUUCUGUGUUAAGAAACCAAAACUGGUGGCUCACCAGGAUCCAAACCUGCUUCAGGGAGAUGGUGAGAUUUCCCCAGGUGGAAAGGAUGAGAAGAGAAAAUUCUAAGUUUCUGAAAUGUGGGCAAUGGUAACCCACUCCAGUAUUUAUGCCUGGAAAGUUCCAGGGACAGAAGGUGUUGAGCCUGGCGGGUUACAUCCAUGGAGUCUCACAGAGUCGACGCGACUGUGCACGCUGCACACACCGUACGCAUGCACGCCAGGGUGUGUUUAGGACCUAAAGAGGAAACUGUCUUUGCCUCUCCAUCCCAACUUCCCCUCUAGGUAGGAAAACGUUCUAAAUCCUGGGUGUGCCACUGGAACAAGAGCGAGGAGCCUGGGUUUCUCUGAGGACCUCGCGUCUUCAAGAUUCCUAGAAGCCAAAACGUCAGUCCUUUCUCAG
ensembl:lncRNA